GAUGAACGCUGGCGGCGUGCCUAAUACAUGCAAGUCGAGCGAACAGACGAGGAGCUUGCUCCUCUGACGUUAGCGGCGGACGGGUGAGUAACACGUGGAUAACCUACCUAUAAGACUGGGAUAACUUCGGGAAACCGGAGCUAAUACCGGAUAAUAUAUUGAACCGCAUGGUUCAAUAGUGAAAGACGGUUUUGCGGUCACUUAUAGAUGGAUCCGCGCCGCAUUAGCUAGUUGGUAAGGUAACGGCUUACCAAGGCAACGAUGCGUAGCCGACCUGAGAGGGUGAUCGGCCACCCUGGAACUGAGACACGGUCCAGACUCCUACGGGAGGCAGCAGUAGGGAAUCUUCCGCAAUGGGCGAAAGCUUGACGGAGCAACGCCGCGUGAGUGAUGAAGGUCUUCGGAUCGUAAAACUCUGUUAUUAGGGAAGAACAAAUGUGUAAGUAACUAUGCCCGUCUUGACGGUACCUAAUCAGAAAGCCCCGGCUAACUACGUG
rnacentral:rRNA from 1 species